rnacentral:tRNA from 1 species
UCCCUGCUGGCUCAGACAGUAAAGAAUCUGCCUGCAAUGCAGGAUAUCCAGGUUCAAUCCCUGGGUCAGGAA